rnacentral:rRNA from 1 species
GAUGAACGCUAGCGGCAGGCCUAAUACAUGCAAGUCGAACGAUACCAGAGAGCUUGCUUUCUGGGAAAGUGGCGCACGGGUGCGUAACGCGUAUGCAACCUACCUUAAUCAGGGGGAUAGCCUCUCGAAAGAGAGAUUAACACCGCAUAACAUCAUUUUACGGCAUCGUAGAAUGAUCAAAUAUUUAUAGGAUUAAGAUGGGCAUGCGUGACAUUAGCUAGUUGGUGAGGUAACGGCUCACCAAGGCUACGAUGUCUAGGGGAUCUGAGAGGAUGACCCCCCACACUGGUACUGAGACACGGACCAGACUCCUACGGGAGGCAGCAGUAAGGAUAUUGGUCAAUGGAGGCAACUCUGAACCAGCCAUGCCGCGUGCAGGAAGACGGCCCUAUGGGUUGUAAACUGCUUUUUAUACGGGAAUAAACCUCUCUACGUGUAGGGAGUUGAAUGUACUGUAAGAAUAAGGAUCGGCUAACUCCGUGCCAG